rnacentral:tRNA from 1 species
CAGGGUAUAGCUCAGUUGGUAGAGCAUCGGUCUCCAAAACCGAGGGUCGGGUUCGAGUCCCCUGCCCCUGCCA